rnacentral:rRNA from 1 species
CCUACGGGUGGCAGCAGUGGGGAAUCUUAGACAAUGGGCGCAAGCCUGAUCUAGCCAUGCCGCGUGAUCGAUGAAGGCCUUAGGGUUGUAAAGAUCUUUCGUGGGGGAAGCGGUACCCCAAGAAGAAGCCCCGGCUAACUCCGUGCCAGCAGCCGCGGUAAUACGGAGGGGGCUAGCGUUAUUCGGAAUUACUGGGCGUAAAGCGCACGUAGGCGGAUUGGAAAGUCAGAGGUGAAAUCCCAGAGCUCAACUUUGGAACUGCCUUUGAAACUCCCAGUCUUGAGGUCGAGAGAGGUGAGUGGAAUUCCGAGUGUAGAGGUGAAAUUCGUAGAUAUUCGGAGGAACACCAGUGGCGAAGGCGGCUCACUGGCUCGUCUGACGCUGAGGUGCGAAAGCGUGGGGAGCAAACAGGAUUAGAUACCCUUGUAGUC